UUUCUUUCAAUCAAUCCAAAUCAUUCAACAGUUCUUUCAUUGUACUAAGCAUAACAGAAGUUUACAAAAAAAGCACUGAUAGGAGUUAAAUACCAGCAAUCACAUACACAGCUGGUAAAAAGAAGAUAUACAGAGUUCCAUGGUUUUUAAGCUUCUGUUUUGCAGGAGAAGUGGGUCUGAGUUAAAAAUGGCUCAUCUUUCUUAUAACAGCAGCUCAGAGGAGAGAGUAUGCAGAAAUGCGAAGAUCAUGAAUGAUCAUUACAACAGCAUGCACUGGAUGUUUGGAAGAUUUCAACAGUUGCAUGUAAAAGGAAAGGAAUGGCGCUUUUAUAGUCCAUGAUGCCAGUCAUCUGUGUAUGGGUCUACAGAAAGUUGCAUGUAUGUCUUAACUUAAGUUCUUAUUCGCUACAUUCUUUAGAACAGUUGCAAGUCACUUUAUUUGAAAAAUAGACAUCUUGGUUGAAUUGGAAGCA